rnacentral:rRNA from 1 species
AACGAACGCUGGCGGCAGGCCUAACACAUGCAAGUCGAACGCGUCCUUCGGGACGAGUGGCAGACGGGUGAGUAACGCGUGGGAACGUACCCUUUGGUUCGGAACAACAGCGGGAAACUGCUGCUAAUACCGGAUAAGCCCUUCGGGGGAAAGAUUUAUCGCCAGAGGAUCGGCCCGCGUUAGAUUAGCUUGUUGGUGAGGUAAUGGCUCACCAAGGCUACGAUCUAUAGCUGGUCUGAGAGGAUGAUCAGCCACACUGGGACUGAGACACGGCCCAGACUCUUACGGGAGGCAGCAGUGGGGAAUCUUGGACAAUGGGCGAAAGCCUGAUCCAGCCAUGCCGCGUGAAUGAUGAAGGCCCUAGGGUUGUAAAAUUCUUUCGACGGGGAAGAUAAUGACGGUACCCGUAGAAGAAGCUCCGGCUAACUUCGUGCCAGCAGCCGCGGUAAU